UGGGGAAUCUUGCACAAUGGGGGAAACCCUGAUGCAGCGACGCCGCGUGAGCGAUGAAGGUUUUCGAAUCGUAAAGCUCUGUCCUAUGGGAAGAUAAUGACGGUACCAUAGGAGGAAGCCCCGGCUAACUACGUGCCAGCAGCCGCGGUAAUACGUAGGGGGCGAGCGUUGGCCGGAAUUACUGGGCGUAAAGGGUUCGCAGGCGGCAUGACAAGUCCGAUGUAAAAGGCGAAAGCUCAACUUUCGUAAGCAUCGGAAACUGUCAAGCUUGAGUGAAGGAGAGGCAAGUGGAAUUCCUAGUGUAGCGGUGGAAUGCGUAGAUAUUAGGAGGAAUACCGGUGGCGAAGGCGACUUGCUGGACUUCAACUGACGCUGAGGAACGAAAGCGUGGGUAGCAAACAGG
rnacentral:rRNA from 1 species